UUGGUGCUGUUGGUGAAAUUUCCUUUCUUGGGAAAUUUUGCUAAGCACUUUCUUGAGCUUGCAUUUAGAUGCCUUCAGUGGAAGCGCAUAUCUCUGAUGAUAACAGCGAGAUUGGUUGCUUGCUGACCAGA